rnacentral:rRNA from 1 species
GAUGAACGCUAGCGGCAGGCCUAAUACAUGCAAGCUGAACGGUAAAUGUUGUAGCAAUACGAUAUGAGAGUAGCGUAAGGGUGCGUAACACGUAUGCAAUCUGCCCGCAACAGGAGGAUAGCUCCCCGAAAGGGGAAUUAAUACUCCAUAAGAUCACGAAAGGGCAUCUGAUUGUGAUUAAACUCCAAGGGGUUGCGGAUGAGCAUGCGUCUGAUUAGCUAGUUGGUGAGGUAACGGCUCACCAAGGCGAUGAUGAGUAGGGGAACUGAGAGGUUGAUCCCCCACACUGGCACUGAGAGACGGGCCAGACUCCUACGGGAGGCAGCAGUAGGGAAUAUUGGUCAAUGGGUGAGAGUCUGAACCAGCCAUGCCGCGUGCAGGAAGACGGCCUUCUGGGUUGUAAACUGCUUUUGUCAGGGGAUAAAAUACCCGUGCGCGGGGAAUUGAAGGUACCUGAUGAAUAAGCCACGGCUAACUACGUGCCAGCAGCCGCCGUAAUAC